rnacentral:rRNA from 1 species
GACAGAGGGUGCAAACGUUGCUCGGAAUUAUUGGGCGUAAAGGGCGCGUAGGCGGCCUGCUAAGUCGAACGUGAAAUCCCCGGGCUCAACCCGGGAACUGCGUCCGAUACUGGCAGGCUUGAAUCCGGGAGAGGGAUGCGGAAUUCCAGGUGUAGCGGUGAAAUGCGUAGAUAUCUGGAGGAACACCGGUGGCGAAGGCGGCAUCCUGGACCGGCAUUGACGCUGAGGCGCGAAAGCCAGGGGAGCAAACGGG